rnacentral:rRNA from 1 species
GUAGGCGGUUUAAUAAGUGAAUAGUGAAACCUGGUGGCUCAACCAUACAGACUAUUAUUCAAACUGUUAAACUCGAGAAUGGUAGAGGUAACNUGGAAUUUCUAGUGUAGGAGUGAAAUCCGUAGAUAUUAGAAGGAACACCGAUGGCGUAGGCAGGUUACNUGGGCCAUUUCUGACGCUAAGGCACGAAAGCGUGGGGAGCGAACCGGAUUAGAUACCCGGGUAGUCCACGCCGUAAACGAUGGAUACUAGCUGUUGGAGGUAUCGACCCCUUCAGUAGCGAAGCUAACGCGUUAAGUAUCCCGCCUGUGGAGUACGGCCGCAAGGCUAAAACAUAAAGGAAUUGACGGGGACCCGCACAAGCGGUGGAUUAUGUUCUUUAAUUCGAUGAUAACCGAAGAACCUUACCAGGGCUUGACAUCCAGGGAAGGUCUGCGAAAGUAGACUGUGCCUUUUGGAACCCUGUGACAGGUGAUGCAUGGCCGUCGUCAGCUCGUGUCGUGAGAUGUUAGGGUUAAGUCCUUCAACGAGCGCAACCCUUGUGAAUAGUUGUAUUUUUCUAUUCAGACUGCCCCGGUAACGGGGAGGAAGGAGGGGGAUGAUGUCAGGUCANUAUUUCCCUUAGUCCUGGCUAGAACGUAUACAAUGGCUAGUANANGCGCAGNGAGCCCNAGGUGNANCAAUCC